rnacentral:rRNA from 1 species
AUUGAACGCUGGCGGCAGGCCUAACACAUGCAAGUCGAGCGGAUGAAGGGAGCUCGCUCCUGGAUUCAGCGGCGGACGGGUGAGUAAUGCCUAGGAAUCUGCCUGGUAGUGGGGGAUAACGUCCGGAAACGGGCGCUAAUACCGCAUACGUCCUGAGGGAGAAAGUGGGGGAUCUUCGGACCUCACGCUAUCAGAUGAGCCUAGGUCGGAUUAGCUAGUUGGUGGGGUAAAGGCCUACCAAGGCGACGAUCCGUAACUGGUCUGAGAGGAUGAUCAGUCACACUGGAACUGAGACACGGUCCAGACUCCUACGGGAGGCAGCAGCGGGGAAUAUUGGACAAUGGGCGAAAGCCUGAUCCAGCCAUGCCGCGUGUGUGAAGAAGGUCUUCGGAUUGUAAAGCACUUUAAGUUGGGAGGAAGGGCAGUAAGUUAAUACCUUGCUGUUUUGACGUUACCAACAGAAUAAGCACCGGCUAACUUCGUG